AUUGAACGCUGGCGGCAUGCCUAACACAUGCAAGUCGAACGGCAGCACGAGGCUCGUCCUUGCGUCGCUUAGGGGUCGGGUGCGUGAGGCAAAUGUCCGUGACCCGGCGUGAGGGAUGGGGAGACGUACGGGAAACGGAUACCACAUCCGCCUAACGUCUGAAGACCAAGGAGCGAAAGGUCAGGCCCUAUUGGCAUGGCCCGUGUCGGAUUAGCUAGUUGGUGGGGUAACGGCUUACCCAGGCGACGAUCCGUAGCUGGUCUGAGAGGAUGACCAGCCACACUGGAACUGAGACACGGUCCAGACUCCUACGGGAGGCAGCAGUGGGGAAUCUUGCACAAUGGGCGCAAGCCUGAUGCAGCCAUGCCGCGUGCGUGAAGAAGGCCUUCGGGUUGUAAACCUCUUUUAGUCGGGAAGAAGUCAUCUGGGCUAAUACCUCGGCGGAUUGACGGUACCGGAAGAAGAAGCACCGGCUAACUACGUG
rnacentral:rRNA from 1 species